GACGAACGCUGGCGGCGUGCUUAACACAUGCAAGUCGAACGAAGAGCGAUGGAAGCUUGCUUCUAUCAAUCUUAGUGGCGAACGGGUGAGUAACGCGUAAUCAACCUGCCCUUCAGAGAGGGACAACAGUUGGAAACGACUGCUAAUACCGCAUACGAUCUAAUCUCGGCAUCGAGGAUAGAUGAAAGGUGGCCUCUACAUGUAAGCUAUCACUGAAGGAGGGGAUUGCGUCUGAUCAGCUAGUUGGAGGGGUAACGGCCCACCAAGGCGAUGAUCAGUAGCCGGUCUGAGAGGAUGAACGGCCACAUUGGGACUGAGACACGGCCCAGACUCCUACGGGAGGCAGCAGUGGGGAAUCUUCCGCAAUGGACGAAAGUCUGACGGAGCAACGCCGCGUGAGCGAUGACGGCCUUCGGGUUGUAAAGCUCUGUUAAUCGGGACGAAAGGCCUUCUUGCGAAUAGUGAGAAGGAUUGACGGUACCGGAAUAGAAAGCCACGGCUAACUACGUG
rnacentral:rRNA from 1 species